rnacentral:rRNA from 1 species
GUUGCGUAGGUGGCAUAGUAAGCGGGUAGUGAAAUUGUGUGGCUCAACCAUACACCCAUUACCUGAACUGCUAAGCUAGAGGACGAGAGAGGUAAUUGGAAUUCCCAGUGUAGGAGUGAAAUCCGUAGAUAUUGGGAGGAACACCGAUGGCGUAGGCAGAUUACUGGCUCGUUCCUGACACUAAGGCACGAAAGCGUGGGGAGCAAACGGGAUUAGAUACCCCGGUAGUCCACGCCGUAAACUAUGGAUGCUAGCUGUUAGAGGUAUCGACCCCUCUAGUAGCGAAGCUAACGCGUUAAGCAUCCCGCCUGUGGAGUACGGUCGCAAGACUAAAACAUAAAGGAAUUGACGGGGACCCGCACAAGCGGUGGAGCGUGUUGUUUAAUUCGAUGGUAAGCGGAGAACCUUACCCAGGCUUGACAUCCUUGGAAGCACUUCGAAAGAAGAGUGUGCCUUCGGGAACCAAGUGACAGGUGUUGCAUGGCCGUCGUCAGCUCGUGUCGUGAGAUGUUUGGUUAAGUCCAUCAACGAGCGCAACCCUUAUAGUUAGUUGAAUUUUUCUAGCUAGACUGCCCUGGUAACAGGGAGGAAGGGGGGGAUGAUGUCAGGUCA